AAAAAUUAAACGUGCUUAAAGUCCAUUUUUAACACACUCUGUGUUUUCAUGCAAAAUGAAUUCAAAUAAUAAACUCCAACUAGUGUUUCUUAACAUUAUUAUUUGCCCAGACAAAGGCCUGCGACCCACUGAAAACAGG